rnacentral:tRNA from 2 species
ACGGAAAUGUGCCCGAGACACUAAGGAUUACUUUGAUAGAGUAAAAUACAGGGAUACCAACCCCCUCAUUUCCU